rnacentral:lncRNA from 1 species
GGCCACACCCAUGGCGUAUGGAGGUUCCCAAGCUAGGGGUCAAAUUGGAGCUAGAACUGCUGGCCUACACCACAGCCACAGAGGAUCCGAGCUGCAUCUGCAACCUACACCACAGCUCACAGCAAUGCCAGAUCCUUAACCCAUUAAGCAAGGCCAGGGAUCAAACCUGCAACCUCAUGGUUCCUAGUUGGAUUCAUUUGCACUACACCACAAGGGGAACUCCUAGAAUAAAUAAUCCUAAAAUUUAUAUGGAACCACAAAAGACCCCCAAUAGCCAAACCAAUCUUGAAAAGGAAGAGCAGAGACACUCUACUCACUGGUUUCCAACUAUAUUACCAAGCUAUAGUAAUCAAAACAGUAUGCUUCUGGCACAAAAACAGAUAACAUAGAUCAGUGGAACAGAGUAGAAAGCUCAGAUAUACACCCAUGCAUACGUAAUCAAUUAAUUUAUAAAACGGAGCCAAGAAUAUACAACGAGGAGAGGACUCUCUCUUCAGUAAAGGGUGUCAGGGAAAGUGGACCACUGUCUCACACCUUACACGAAAAUUAACUCAAAAUGAAUUAAAGACUUGAACAUAAGACCUGAAACCGUAAAAUUCCUAGAAGAAAACACAGGCGGUAAGCUCCUUGACAUCAAUCUUGGCAAUGAUAUUUUGGAUAUGACAAAAAUAAGUGUGAUUACAUCAAGCUAAAAAGCUUCUGUGCAGAAAAACCAUCAACAAAAUGAAAAGGCAACCUACUGAAUAGGACUGGAAGAAUUAAUAUUUAAAAUGUUCAUACUACCCAAAGUAACCUAAAAUUGUAAAGCAAUUCCUAUCAAAAUACCCAUGACAUUUUUCGCAGAACUAGAAAAAAAUCCUAAAAUUCAUACAGAACUACAGAAGACCCCAAAUAGCCAAAGUAAUCUUGAGAAAAAAGGACAAAGCUGGAGCUCCCUAACUUUAGAUAUACUACAAAGCUACAGUAAUCAAAACUGUAUGGUACUGGCACACAUGUGCACACACACACACACGCAGAUCAAUGAAACAGCAUAAAGAACCUAGAAUUAAACCUAUGCACCCAUGGUCAAUUAAUCUACAACAAAAGAGACAAGAAUAUACAAUGGAGAAAAAAAUCUCUUCUAUAAGUGGUGCUGGGAGACCUGGACAACUACAUGUACAAGGAUGAAAUUAGAGCAUUGUUUUACACCGUGUCCAAAAUGCAAGACCCGAAACAUAAAGCCCCUAGAAGAAAUCACAGGCAGACACUCUUUGACAUAGAUCACAGCAGCAUAUUUAUUUGGAUCUGUCUCCUAAGGCAAAGGAAACAAAAGAAAAAACAAAUGGGACCUAAUUAAAAGCUUUAUAGCACAGCAAAAGAAACCAUCAACAAAUGAUAAAAAUACAACUUACUGAAUGGGAGAAAAUAUUUGCAAAUCAUCUAUCUGAUAGAAAGUUAAUAUCUACAACAAAGAUCAAAAACGACAUCAAGGAGUUCCCGUCGUGGCACAGUGGUUAACGAAUCCGACUAGGAACCAUGAGGUUGUGGGUUCGAUCCCUGGCCUUGCUCAGUGGGUUAAGGACCCGGCGUUACUGCGAGCUGUGGUGUAGGUCGCAGACGCGGCUCAGAUCCCGAGUGGCUGCAGCUGUGGCGUAGGCUGGUGACUACAGCUCCGAGUCGACCCCUAGCCUGGGAACCUCCACAUGUCUUGGGAGCAGCCCAAGAAAAGACAAAAAAAGACCAAAAAAAAAUAAAUAAAUAAAAAUGGGCAGAGAAUCUGAAGAGACAGUUUUACAGAGAAGAGAUACAGAUGGCCAACAGGCACAUGCUAAUCGUGAGAGAAAUACAAAUCAAAACCACAAGAUACCACCUCACACCUGACUGAAUGGCUAUCAUCAAAAACUCUACAAAAACAAAUGCUGGCGAGGAUAUAGAGAAAAGGGGACCCUAGCACACUGUUGGCGAUAAUGUAAAUUGUUUCCAGGCACCAUGGAACACAGUAGGGAGGUUCCUCAAAAAAUUAAAACUAGAAUUACCAUAUGAUCCAGCAAUUCCACUCUUGCAUAUAUAUCCAAAGAGAGUGAAAACACUAAUUUGAAAAAGUACAUGCACCUCAGUGUUCACAGCAGCAUUAUUUGCAAUAGUCAAGAUAUGGAAGCAACCUAAGUGUCCAUCGAAUGGAUAAAGAAGAUGUGGUAUACGUACAAAGUGGAAUAUUACUCAGCCAUAAGACAGACCGAAAUUCUGCAAUUUGCAACAGUAUGGGUGCACCUAGAGAGUAUUAUGCUUAGUGAAAUAAAUCAGACGAGGACAAAUAUUGUAUGUUAACACUUAUACGUGGAAUCUAAAAAGUAAAACAAGCAAAUGCGUGUAACAAAAGAGAAACAGCCUCACAGAUUAAGAGAAGAAACUACUGGUUGCCAGUGGGAAGAGGGGAGGCAGGGGGGGGGGCGAGGGAAGGGGAGAGGACGGAGAGGCACAAACUAUCGCCAUGUACAAAGUCAAUAAGCUACAGUGUAUACUGCACAGCACAGGGAAAUACAGCGUUACUUCACAGUAACUUUAAAUGGACUAUAAUUAAUCGAUAAAAAUACUGAAUCACUAUGUUAUAUUUGAAUCCCACGUCGCUGUGGCUGUGGUGUAGGCUGGUAGCUGCAACUCCAAUUUGACCCCUAGCCCCCGGAACUUCCAUAUGCCAUGGGUGCGGCCCUAAAAAAAAAAAAGCCGAAAAAAAGGAACCAAAUGUCAUAAAAGGAACCAGAGCAUCUUGGGGAACUGGCUAGUUCUAAGGUUGGGGUAGAGGAAAUACAAGUUAAGCCUGGAGCAUCUUAUGGUACCAGAAAGUGAGCAGGUGCUUCAAAACAAAAUAGACUGUCAAAGGGACACAGCAACCUACCUGAAACUUCCCAGUGGCCAAUCCUAGGACAAUUUCAGCAACAAAAUAACAAUAUAAUACUGAAUUAUGACGCAAAAUAUAAAAGAAAGAAACAUACUGAUGUAAGUGGCUGAAAAAUAAAUGAGGUAGAGGACAAAUCCUCCUCGUGGAAAAACUGCACGUGAGAUUCGCAGAGCCCUCGCCCACUCACUGCCCAGAGGGGCCCCACGGCCUUGUCCUCUUCUCCCGUCACAGCUUAAAAGGCAGCUUGCAAAACAGCCAGAAUACCUGAUGUCCUGCGGACGAAAGAAGAGGAUGUCCUCAAACUCCCUGUACCGGGAACCCACGUCGGUGGCACCACCACUGACUUCCGAGCGGAACCUUUUAUCCGUAAAAGGAAACACGACGGCACCUGCAUCAAAACUAAAGCGACGGCUCUGCCGGCAGCUCGUGCCACUGCUGCACUGAAGACCUGGCUGGUGUCGCUGUCGCGCUCCAGGGAUGCUGGUCGGCAGGCUCUGCUGACGUGCUGCCGCCACUGGAGCCACUCCUGCUGCUCGGGGCCUCGCUUCCGGAACCUUCCCCAGUGCGAACCAGCCAGCCCUGCAGGAGCCUCGGUCGGCUGCUGGUCAGGACCCCAGCCUCCAUCACUCUCCCAGCACAGACUCUGCUCUUGGCCAUGUGGACACUGCGCCCUCCUGCAACCACAAGGGAGCUCACUCGGUAGGUCUGGUGUGGAGGCUGGUCUGGGGAGUCCUGUGCAGUCUGCCAUGAACACGCAGAGGAGGCCAGGUCCGAUCUUCAGCGCUUCCCAGGUCCUGAAGGGACUGAGAAGGAAAAGCAAGCCGUGCGGAGAAGGCUGUGACCCUGCUCCAGCUCCUGAGUUUACUGCGACUCAUCCUGAGGUCACAGGCUGGUCUGAGGGCAUGCAGGUGCCCUCUGUGCCUGUCCAGCUGUCCCCACAGCGCACUCAAGACGGGUCUGCAGCUCCCACUGCUCAGGCCACUGAGUGGGUAGGAACAACCGCUGGGCAAUCUUAAGCUAAAGGCCUGAGCGAGUUGGGCCCGGCUCCCGGGCUGGCAGCACGUCCAGGCUCUCCUCCCGCUGCAGCUCCGCCUGGAGCUGAGAAGCACGGGGCGGUGACUGCAUAGCCAGGUGCCCAGCGCGACUACUGGUAAAAUACCCUGAUGAAUGAAAUUGGUUCUUCUGCAACAAGGCUCCUAUUCUUUGGGUUGUGCGUCCUUUCCCAGAUUAAACUAGCAAAAUACGGACUUUUGUAAAAUCUCAGCCACCUAGCUCUCUGCUGUCUAAAUUUUCAAGCCUUCAGGUCCCUGUCGGUCAGCAAAAAUCCUUGCAUUUUGGAAAACCAACUACCAAUGAAGGAGCCAGGAGGUGGAACUGGAUCACAGUGCUUUUAGCCCAAGGCAGCAGAGCCGAGCCCUUCCCUCUCAAAGAGCGGGCGUCGCCUCCCACGGAGAGGAGCCGGCCGCUCCACGGUGCUGCUCUCCAGUCGGCUUCCCAGCACCUCUGCAGUCAUAACCAAAGCAAAGGAGAAUACUGUACGACUUCAGCAAAAGCCAGCCCCUGUGCAACAUCUUCAGGAAAUUCUG